rnacentral:rRNA from 1 species
UAAUACGUAGGGUCCGAGCGUUGUCCGGAAUUAUUGGGCGUAAAGGGCUCGUAGGCGGUUUGUCGCGUCGGGAGUGAAAACACCGGGCUUAACUCGGUGCUUGCUUUCGAUACGGGCAGACUUGAGGUAUGCAGGGGAGAACGGAAUUCCUGGUGUAGCGGUGAAAUGCGCAGAUAUCAGGAGGAACACCGGUGGCGAAGGCGGUUCUCUGGGCAUUACCUGACGCUGAGGAGCGAAAGUGUGGGGAGCGAACAGG